rnacentral:rRNA from 1 species
UCCGUAGGUGAACCUGCGGAGGGAUCAUUACACAAAUAUGAAGGCGGGCUGGAACCUCUCGGGGUUACAGCCUUGCUGAAUUAUUCACCCUUGUCUUUUGCGUACUUCUUGUUUCCUUGGUGGGUUCGCCCACCACUAGGACAAACAUAAACCUUUUGUAAUUGCAAUCAGCGUCAGUAACAAAUUAAUAAUUACAACUUUCAACAACGGAUCUCUUGGUUCUGGCAUCGAUGAAGAACGCAGCGAAAUGCGAUAAGUAGUGUGAAUUGCAGAAUUCAGUGAAUCAUCGAAUCUUUGAACGCACAUUGCGCCCUUUGGUAUUCCAAAGGGCAUGCCUGUUCGAGCGUCAUUUGUACCCUCAAGCUUUGCUUGGUGUUGGGCGUCUUGUCUCUAGCUUUGCUGGAGACUCGCCUUAAAGUAAUUGGCAGCCGGCCUACUGAUUUCGGAGCGCAGCACAAGUCGCACUCUCUAUCAGCAAAGGUCUAGCAUCCAUUAAGCCUUUUUUUCAACUUUUGACCUCGGAUCAGGUAGGGAUACCCGCUGAACUUAAGCAUAUCAAUAAGCGGAGG